rfam:Nematostella vectensis strain CH2 x CH6 NEMVEscaffold_4732_Cont48403, whole genome shotgun sequence.
GUCAGGAUGGCCGAGCGAUCUAAGGCGCCAGACUCAAGGUUCAAUUCCUUCUCGUCAUGAAUGGGAGAGUGUUCUGGUCUCCUAAUAGAGGCGUGGGUUCUAAUCCCACAUCUGACA